ACGCUGGCGGCACGCCUUAUACAUGCAAGUCGAACGAAGUAGCAAUACUUAGUGGCAGACGGGUGAGUAACAUGUGGGUAUCUUCCCUUUGGUGAGGAAUAACACGAGGAAACUUGUGCUAAUACCUCAUAAGUCUUUACGGAGAAAGCUUUAUGCGCCAAUGGAUGAGCCCGCACUUGAUUAGUUUGUUGGUGGGGUAAUAGCCUACCAAGACUUUGAUCAAUAGCUGAUUUGAGAGGAUGAUCAGCCACAUUGGGACUGAGACACGGCCCAAACUCCUACGGGAGGCAGCAGUAGGGAAUCUUGCACAAUGGAGGAAACUCUGAUGCAGCGAUGCCGCGUGAGUGAAGAAGGCCUUUGGGUUGUAAAGCUCUUUCGUCGGGGAAGAAAAUGACUGUACCCGAAUAAGAAGGUCCGGCUAACUUCGUGCCAGCAGCCGCGGUAAUACGAAGGGACCUAGCGUAGUUCGGAAUUACUGGGCUUAAAGAGUUCGUAGGUGGUUAAAAAAGUUGGUGGUGAAAUCCCAGAGCUUAACUCUGGAACUGCCAUCAAAACUUUUUAGCUAGAGUAUGAUAGAGGAAAGCAGAAUUUCUAGUGUAGAGGUGAAAUUCGUAGAUAUUAGAAAGAAUACCAAUUGCGAAGGCAGCUUUCUGGAUCAUUACUGACACUGAGGAACGAAAGCAUGGGUAGCGAAGAGGAUUAGAUACCCUCGUAGUCCAUGCCGUAAACGAUGUGUGUUAGAUGUUGGAAAUUUAUUUUCAGUAUCGCAGCGAAAGCAAUAAACACACCGCCUGGGGAGUACGACCGCAAGGUUAAAACUCAAAUGAAUUGACGGGGACCCGCACAAGUAGUGGAGCAUGUGGUUUAAUUCGAAGAUACGCGCAGAACCUUACCAACACUUGACAUGUUCGUUUCGACUCUAAGAGAUUAGAGUUUUCGGUUCGGCCGGACGAAACACAGGUGCUGCAUGGCUGUCGUCAGCUCGUGUCGUGAGAUGUUGGGUUAAGUCCCGCAACGAGCGCAACCCUUACUUUUAGUUGCCACCAUUUAGUUGGGCACUCUGAAAGAACUGCCAGUGAUAAGCUGGAGGAAGGUGGGGAUGACGUCAAGUCCUCAUGGCCCUUAUGUGUUGGGCUACACACGUGCUACAAUGGCAUUUACAAAAGGAAGCAAGAUGGCGACAUUAAGCAAAUCCUAAAAAAAUGCCUCAGUUCGGAUUGUACUCUGCAACUCGAGUACAUGAAGCUGGAAUUACUAGUAAUCGCGGAUCAGCGCGCCGCGGUGAAUACGUUCCCGGGUCUUGUACACACCGCCCGUCACACCAUGGGAGUUGGUUCUACCUUAAGGCAAGGUUUAAUACCCUUGACCACGGUAUAGUCAGCGACUGGGGUGAAGUCG
rnacentral:rRNA from 1 species